CGCGUCCUCUGUUUCCAGGCCUUUCCAUAAUCCCAUCGCAUCCCUGUGCGCAGUGCCUGUGGUCUGUGUGCCUCCUGUCCUAAAUGCAGCCCAGUGCUCCAUACUGGGUUUGUCUGCAGACUGAGGAGGCAGAUCAGAUCAGAGCAGUGGCAUUACCCAUUCCAUCCUCAGCUGCCAGGUUGCUCUGCGGUGGAAGAGAUCCCUGCAACAAACACAUUAUGGGUUUUAUGAGCUCUUUAAAGAACCUGUGUGUGAAAUCAGGUCAUGCAUCCUUCUCUUUGCUUGUUUCUGGAUCCUGUACUUACAGUUUGUACAUUAACUUGUUAUGGGUGACUGGUUGCUUAGUGAAAACCAACCUGCAUGCUGUUUUGUGUUUGCUCAACAGGAACAUAACCAGCCACAGGGUGGCGCUGGAACAAAGGCCAAAGAGACAUUCUCCUCUGGUUUUGGUUAGCGCUCAUAUUGGCACAAAAAUCAACAUUUCUGGAAGACAGAAACAACAAUCUGCUCUCCUAAGCAUGUGCAUUUUCUGUGUUUUAUUGUAUGAAGAAGAUUCAAAGCAGACAGUCAGGAAUUGGGAACAAUUUUAACAGGUUUUAUCACUAUCUAUAGUUUGUUUGAUUCUGUCAUCUUUCCCGGUUUUGAUUAAAAUAAUUUUCAGUUCUUUUAAUACAUUAAUCUCUUCCAGAGUUUGAUUUGUUUUGUUUCAUCGCACACUUUUUAAAAUCAUUUUUGUUCAAAUGUUCCUUGACUCUGAUCUUAUCCCCCAGUUCAGUUGUAAUCAUAACUUACUGACGUUAUUACAUAUUAUUAUAUAUUACAAUUUAGUAUCAUUUCUAGGUUUUAAAUGUCACAAUGAAGGUCUUUGUUGUUUUGGAAAUCAACAAUUAUGAGCAGUUUUCAUGGUAAUAUCCAUGAAAAUAUUAAGUUUUAUAAGAUUUCAACAGAUAAUUCUGACCACACUUGAGAUUUGUUCUGUUUUUUAUGAAUGUUUUUUGUUAAAAAUGUUUUUGUUAUAACCUUUACAGGUAACAACACGUUGGUUUUGGAUUCAUGGCUCCACCUUGACAAGCAGUGGACAAUUAAAUGAACAAAAUUAA